CUUUUCUCUAUAGUAGCAACAAGCUAAAAAUAAUGUAAUUAUCCAACAAUAAAAGGCAUUUCCUGUUCAUCUUUUUGCUCCUUGGUGCUCAGGCUGUAGGUCGAGGGUGACUCAUCCCCUCCCCCGGGCCUUGCCUGCUGGGAGGCUGGGGCUAACCUAUGGCCUGGCAGCCUCGGCCUCUGUCUUUCCUAAGAAUCUGUUCCAGCCAGCUGACCUGCCUGGCCCUUCCCAAUCUGACAGGAGACCUCCUCAUUCCUGGGGUGCUGAAUGGCACAGUCCUGCCCACAGCAACCGAUGACAAAAGUGCAUCUAAUCUGCACACCCAGUUUGCUCCCUCUCCCAUGAAUGCAGGCUGCACCCGAGGAGCUGCGCCUGCUCCCCUGCUUGCCCCUGCGCAGCACAAACAACCUCGGUACCGUCAGUGAAAUCCUCAGAUCGCUCGCAGUGCGCAGCGCCCCCACUUCUCAGUCACAUGUCAGGCCCAGAAGCAGCUAUGAUGAUUACAGCAUCACCUCCCUCCUCUCCAUCUACACAGUUGAACAGCUGCGCUGCAGUCUAGAAAAGUCACCCUGAAAACCAGCUCUAGUUUGAGGAGGUGACAUGUUCUUGCUUUGUCCCCAAAGAUGUUCUUCUGCUGUCCUCGCAGGGGGGAGUACCUCCUGGGCUGGCUGCAGCAGUCCUGCCCAGGGAGGGAGAGAUCUGGCCACCAGUACGGAAGCUGAAUGUCACCAGUCUGGGAUGAGCAGUCAUUUUGAUGGGCAUGCACAACUGCUUCUGAUGGAACUGAGACAAAAAGAAAACAUAAGGAAAAAAAUUUCCUCCUGUGAAAUGGAAGAAUGGGAACAGGUGCGGAAAGGGUCCGGGAAUGUGCGUGGCAUCGAGUAUGUUCUGGGUAAGAAUCAGCUUUGGCUGAGGAACCGUGCCCGGGGAGGGGUGUCAGCCACUCUUCCUCUCCCCACAGAAGCCCAGCCCCAGAGCCCUGGCAGCUCUCAGGCCGUGUGCCUCAAGAGGAAAGAAGGAAUGGAGAGCAGAGGGGAGACUCGCUCAGAGCACAUUCUUGGUGGUGGUGUCCGUGUCGCUGGGCUGUGAGCUCCACAGAGGCAGCCCACGGUCACUCUCAUCCCCUGCUCUGUCCCCAGACCUGGCUCACUGCCUGCCUUGCAACAGAAGCCCAGGAUGUACUUGGGGAACGAAUGGAACAGUGAGUGUCUCCGGACUAUGUAAGCUGCCUAGUGACCGUCACCCAGAACAGUGACUGCAUGCUUUCUGCCAGUCUGGGGAAAGUCCCUCUGCUCACUCUAGGCCCAACUCAUGGCCCAUCUGGUCAUUUCUUUUCCUCCUCUCAUGCCUGCCCAUUCCACUGCCCCUUCCCUUGCCACCGCUUCUCCUCUGGGCUGUUGGCACAGCCUCCUCCAACAACGCUCCCUGCCCCCAUCCCCUUCUCUCCCCCACUUUCUAAUCUGCCUCAUCUGCGUGAGAUUCUGAAUUCAUAUGUCCCAGCUCUUACCCUGUAGCCGCCACAUCCAAGACUAUACUGGCUCCAGGAUGACCACAGGAGGAGAGCCAGCAGUCCGGCCUGGCUCCCUUCCUGCAUCCCAGCUCCCUCUGGCCCUCUGGCAGGCUCAGGCUUUGCUCGAAGUCUGCCGUCACCUCUUUGAUCCUGCCCUUUCCUGCCGCUGCCUGUCCCAUCCAAUCUGCAUGGCCCUCAACAGAAGGGAGAACUAGGGCUUGAGAAUCAGAGAUGUGGGUUUGAACUCUGGUCCCCUAGUUCCUACCCGAGGGGACAAUGACAAAUUCUUUAACCUGAGCCUCAAUGUUCUUUUCUCUAAAACAGGCAAUAAAAGUACCUACCUGUGUCCUUGUGUGUCUAUAAGGAGAAUGUGUGUACAAAGGGCCUGGCACAUGGGACAGCUUAAAGAAUGGUAGAUAUGAUUUUCGGUAAAUCCUAUAAGUAUAAAAAGAAAAAAAAGGCUAAAAAUGGAGCUAUAAUUUUUUUCUCAGUCCUCUACCAGCCAAAACACCGGAGGAAACUUCACUAAGCCUGCUGAAUACACUGCCGCAAGGGGACAGGGCGUCGAGUGUGGGUGCUGCCGCCCCAGCCUAGUGGGCCACGCCCUGAAGAGAAGCUCCCCCAACUCCCGUGCACCUUGGGAGGGAGGCCUCCUGGGCUGAAAGGCCAAGUGCGCCACGACGACGGGAAACCGGGAAACCGCAGGGAAGACAGGCCAGAAGCAGAGCCCUUCCAUGCUCAACCGCAGGCAUUUGGGACUGGCUCACGAGUGAGCACUAUGGAUGGGGAAGAUUCAGACAGACAGACAGACAGACAGCCUGUGGUCCCCCGACUGGGAGCUCCCUGAGGGCAGAGUCAUGAGCCUAAAGAUGGUUUGAGUAAGGGUGCCUCCAGAUUCCUGCUGAAACUUAGUCCCCGGUGCAACAGUGCUAAGAGGCGUGGCCUUUCGGAGGCGAUGAGUCAUCAGGGCUCUGCCCUCACAAUGGAAUGGGAGUAGGUGCCCUUCUAGAAAGGGUGGAUUUGGGGAGUGCACCCUUUUCCUCCCUUUCUGUCCUUCUGCCGCGUGAGGACACAGCGUCCCCCCUCUGGAGGGUGCAGCAACACCAUGCGUCCUGGAAGCGGAGGGCAGCCCUCACCAGACAGCUGAACCUGUGGGCACCUUGACCUCGGACUUCCGGCUCUGGAGCUGUGAGGAAUAAAUUUCUGUUUUUUAUAAAUUACCCAGUCUCAGGUAUCUUGCUAAAGCAGCCCCAACAAACUAAGACAAAGUUGUCCCAAGAAGAGGACACUCGAACGUCUCAGAAGUAGAAUGGCCUCCUUGGAGUAGGAAGCCCCCAGCCUGGAGGGGAUCCCGGAAGGGACGUUAUGACCACAUAACAAGUGUGACCAGUACCAGGGCAGAGAGGGACACUGCAGACGGGCUCUCUCAUUCGAUGCCCCUCGAGAGCCCAGCCUCCAAGAGGCCCCGAGUUUUCAGUGGGCUUCCAGUUGCUGGAAAGCAAGAAUGCACCAAGGGAGCCCAUCUGUCAGUCAGACAAGUAAUUAAGGAAAGUAGGUGCUUUCAAUACCAGGUAAUGUCAGCACCAGGGGCUGUACACAAAGCCGGGUUAUUUUUAGUAUUCGGGGAAGGCACAUUCUUCUUCUGAUAAUAAGAAUAAAGAAAGCAAUUAGAACCUCCAAGAAAAUGAAAAGCUGUGCAGAAAAGCUGCAGCCCAAAUGUAAAGCAAUGAAGCACAGCCGCCUUUGAGCAACUGAUGGGCAUGGAAAAUUAAACACAUUUGACCUUGGCGCUAAGAACCCCUUCUUCAUGGCCUGUGUGUCACAACAUUGGAUCAGUAGGGAAGCAAAUGUAAUCCUUGGAUCUUCCUUGCUCAGCAGUGACAGUGGCCUGUGUUCCCACAGGCAUGGGAAUGUAACAUCAGUUUACUGACUUUUUGUUUAACUUUUAGCGUCAAUCUAUAGACAAAAUGCAACCGUUGCAAUGAUGACUUCAGAACAGUAUCUAAAUAUUGUCAUCUUUUAAAAUGCAAGACUAUUAAAGAUUUAAGUUGAAAGGUAGAGGAUUGAGGAGUGGAAUAGGAGAGACAGGAGUGAAAAGUUUCUCCUUUUAUACAGCGGGUAGUCAUUAGGUUGUAUCUCCACUCCAUGGAGUAGGAAGUGAGGUUUAUUAGUUAGAGCUCGAAUGUAAUCAGUAGAACCAAGAAUAUUUUCAUUAGCAAAAACCAGGAAGAGUGGGGAGGGAUGAAAGGGAGCUGUAUAAGUGACCUAAAACCUUAUUUUUCGUAGGUGAGUGGAUUCGUUCCCUAGGGCUGCCAUGACGAACUACAAGAAACUGGGCGACUUAGGCGACAUGCAGUUGGCAUCUCACCGUUCUGGAGGCUGCGUGUGAGUCACGGUGUCGCAGUGUCGGCUUCUGCGGGCCGUGAGGGAAGACCUGUCCCAGGCCUCUCCCCAGCGUCUGCUGGCUUGCUGGUGACCUUCGCUGGACCCUGGCUUGUGGAUACAUCACUGCGACAGCUGCCUUCGUCUCCGUCUGAUGCUCUCCUGCGACUUCACCUUGUCUUCCCUCUGUGUCCAAAUUGCCCCUUUGUAUAGACAGCAAGAAUUCUAAAUCUGAAUUUGUCCUUCCAGGUGGUUAUGAAGAAACAAUUGUCAAGGUAGAAGAAUGGGACAUAUUAAAUAGUUUGUAGGAUUUGUAACUUUAAAAUAUUUAGACGCAUGGUAUGUGGGCCUCCAACUGUACCCUUGCCCCAGGCCCUGCAAAUGUCGUAGGCGGCCUGGCAGGUGUGACCACAGUGAAGGAGAAAGGAAACCACCAGUUGCUGCCUGUAGAGAGCGGACAGGGGCGGGGAAGGAUGGGAGAGAGAGCAUAGUGGCACUCUGUUGGGAGCCUCUUGGUCAAUGUGAUUUUCUGCUUUGCCACUUGCAUACUUCACUUUGCUAAAGCUUAGGAAAAUUAUUUAAGUUCCCACCUCUCCUUGGAAUCUUCCUGAUCCCCAGCUCUCACCUUCCUUCUCUGAACUUCCACAACGCUCGGCAGCUGUGCAGCAUUCUUCCUGCCCCGACCUGCUCUCCCAGAGGCCUCUGCUGCCAACACCACCUGCCCAGGCCGACUAGCUGCCCACUUUCUAAGAGGUUCCCCUGGGCUGAAUCAACAAGCCUCAUUGCCAGGCCUCAGUGGUCUGCAGCCCCAGCCGAGCCCCUCCUCCACCCAUCUCUGGCCUGGUGCUCCCACCUGUACCUCCCCACGUCCCUUCAGGGCUGGGAGAAGCCCCUGCCCGCAGCCUCUGUCUGGUGGCGGGGAGGGGGAGCAGCACUGUGGAGCGCCUGGCGCCUGGCGCGUUAGUGAGGAGCAGGCGUCUGCGGCACCAAAUGGC
rnacentral:lncRNA from 1 species